GGGAAGGAAGUACACUGUGGGGAGGAAAGAGGAACUUGAGGUUGAUGUCUUAGUGCCUUUUCUCAGGGGAGAGGCCAUCACUAAAGAUGCGGACUCUCCUGCUCCUUCUCCUGGGACGAGGCUCUGUGCUUGCUGUUCUCGUCUCUCAAACGCCAAGCAGGGUCAUCUGUCAACGUGGAACCUCGGUGACGAUUCAGUGUCAUGUCGAUAGCCAAGUCUCCUUGAUGUUCUGGUACCGUCAGCUUCCAGGACAGAACUUGAUGCUGAUGGCAACUGCAAAUCAGGGCUCUGAGGCGACAUACGAGAACAGAUUUACCAAGGACAAGUUUCCCAUCAGCCGCCCAAACCUUACAUUCUCAAACAUGACCGUGAGCAACGUGAGCCCCGAAGACAGCAGCUUAUACCUCUGCAGCGCUGGAGACACAGCUCCAGGGAAUACUGAAGUUUUCUUUGGAGAAGGCACCAGGCUUGCAGUUGUAGAGGACCUGAAAAAGGUGACCCCGCCCAAGGUGGCUGUGUUUGAACCCUCGGAAGCAGAGAUCUCCCGGACCCACAAAGCCACGCUCGUGUGCCUGGCCACAGGCUUCUACCCCGACCACGUGGAGCUGAGCUGGUGGGUGAACGGGAAGGAGGUCCAGAGUGGGGUCAGCACGGACCCCCAGCCCUACAAGGAGCAGCCCAGCCUCAACGACUCCACCUACUGCCUGAGCAGCCGCCUGAGGGUCUCAGCCACCUUCUGGCACAAUCCCCGCAACCACUUCCGCUGCCAAGUCCAGUUCUUCGGGCUCGCAGAGGAAGACGAGUGGACCCAGGACACAGACAAACCCAUCACCCAGAACAUCAGUGCUGAGGCCUGGGGCAGAGCAGACUGUGGCUUCACCUCGGCGUCCUAUCAGCAAGGGGUCCUGUCUGCCACCGUCCUCUACGAGAUCCUGCUGGGGAAAGCCACCCUGUAUGCUGUGCUGGUCAGCGCCCUCGUGCUGAUGGCCAUGGUCAAGAGAAAGGAUUCCUGAAGCCAGCUCUGGAGAUGGAGCCAGGAGCUUUCAACCCAUAACAGAGUCAAUAUGCAUUUUCCUUUUGCCAGCGCUUCGGAAUGCUGCUCUCACCUCUCUAUGUAUCCCGAUACCUACUCGCUGCGCUUGUGUACCUGCACGCUCACGGCUGAAAUCUCCCCAACCCAGAGAGGCCCCUAGCAUGACUAAGUGACUGAACAAAUAAAAAUGUCCUGGUCUGGCCUGA